GGAUAGAGGCGCGAGGUUCAUCAGUACGUCCGGGCCGCACAGACCGUUGCCGGAUCGAAAGGGGACAUCGCCGAAGCGCUCGGGCAAGGGUCUGCUUUCCGGGUAGCUGGGUCGCCGUGGAACACGCGGCGGACUGUCACAGGUUUUCUCCUGUGAAGCGCUAUCA
rnacentral:ncRNA from 3 species